CCGCGUCAUGGCGGGUGACGAUCGUGGCCGGGAAGAGUCGGGUGAGGAGUUCCGCGCGGGCGUCGCCCAGCUCGUUCAAGACGAGCGAGGCGCGC
rnacentral:tRNA from 1 species